UACGUAGGGAGCAAGCGUUGUCCGGAAUCAUUGGGCGUAAAGCGCGCGUAGGCGGCCCUGUAAGUCCGUUGUGAAAGUCAAAGGCUCAACCUUUGAAAGCCGAUGGAUACUGCAGGGCUAGAGUCCGGAAGAGGCGAGUGGAAUUCCUGGUGGUAGCGGUGGAAUGCGCAGAUAUCAGGAGGAACACCAAUAGCGAAGGCAGCUCGCUGGGACGGUAGCUGACGCUGAGACGCGAAAGCGUGGGGAGCAAACAGG
rnacentral:rRNA from 1 species